rnacentral:rRNA from 1 species
UACAGAGGUCCCAAGCGUUGUUCGGAUUCAUUGGGCGUAAAGGGUGCGUAGGCGGUGAGGUAAGUUGGAUGUGAAAUCCCAGGGCUCAACCCUGGAACUGCAUUCAAUACUGCCUUGCUAGAGUACUGGAGAGGAGAUUGGAAUUCACGGUGUAGCAGUGAAAUGCGUAGAUAUCGUGAGGAAGACCAGUGGCGAAGGCGAAUCUCUGGACAGUAACUGACGCUGAGGCACGAAGGCUAGGGGAGCAAACAGG